AGCGAACGCUGGCGGCAGGCUUAACACAUGCAAGUCGAGCGGGCGUAGCAAUACGUCAGCGGCAGACGGGUGAGUAACGCGUGGGAACAUACCUUUUGGUUCGGAACAACACAGGGAAACUUGUGCUAAUACCGGAUAAGCCCUUACGGGGAAAGAUUUAUCGCCGAAAGAUUGGCCCGCGUCUGAUUAGCUAGUUGGUGAGGUAAUGGCUCACCAAGGCGACGAUCAGUAGCNGGUCUGAGAGGAUGAUCAGCCACAUUGGGACUGAGACACGGCCCAAACUCCUACGGGAGGCAGCAGUGGGGAAUAUUGGACAAUGGGCGCAAGCCUGAUCCAGCCAUGCCGCGUGAGUGAUGAAGGCCCUAGGGUUGUAAAGCUCUUUUGUGCGGGAAGAUAAUGACGGUACCGC
rnacentral:rRNA from 1 species